rnacentral:rRNA from 1 species
ACUCCUACGGGAGGCAGCAGUGGGGAAUAUUGCACAAUGGGCGCAGCUGAUGCAGCCAUGCCGCGUGUGUNAAGAAGGCCUUCGGGUUGUAAAGCACUUUCAGUCGUGAGGAAGGUAGUGUAGUUAAUAGCUGUAUUAUUUGACGUUAGCGACAGAAGAACACGGCUAACUCCGUGCCAGCAGCCGCGGUAAUACGGAGGGUGCGAGCGUUAAUCGGAAUUACUGGGCGUAAAGCGCAUGCAGGUGGUUUGUUAAGUCAGAUGUGAAAGCCCGGGGCUCAACCUCGGAAUUGC